rnacentral:rRNA from 1 species
ACGAACGCUGGCGGCGUGCUUAACCCAUGCAAGUCGCACGGAAAGGCCCUGCUUUUGUGGGGUGCUCGAGUGGCGAACGGGUGAGUAACACGUGAGUAACCUGCCCUUGACUUUGGGAUAACUUCAGGAAACUGGGGCUAAUACCGGAUAGGAGCUCCUGCUGCAUGGUGGGGGUUGGAAAGUUUCGGCGGUUGGGGAUGGACUCGCGGCUUAUCAGCUUGUUGGUGGGGUAGUGGCUUACCAAGGCUUUGACGGGUAGCCGGCCUGAGAGGGUGACCGGCCACAUUAGGACUGGGCUGCGGCCCAGACUCCUACGGGAGGCAGCAGUGGGGAAUAUUACACAAUGGGCGGAAGCCUGAUGCAGCAACGCCGCGUGCGGGAUGACGGCCUUCGGGUUGUAAACCGCUUUCGCCUGUGACGAAGCGUGAGUGACGGUAAUGGGUAAAGAAGCACCGGCUAACUACGUG